GUGUUCCCUCUAGCUUCUGAGGGAAACAGACACGUCUCUGUCUCCAAGAAACAAUUCUUCACUUUCUGCUUGCUUAUUCUGCGCUUGCCUGGUGGUGAUCCCGCACACGGAAGCAGAGGACAAUGGAAGGUCUCCAGUAAUUAACAUCGCCCUGAGGUGGGGCUGGCCGGUCCCAACUCCAUGGAUGCGCCAGCCCCGGAGCACCCAUCAGUAGCCCUGCCGGUCAGCUCCUCCCUACACCUCCCGUCCACCGUCGAUCAGCUGCUCAGGCAUGAGGAGGAAAGGCAGACGAUAACUGACGGGCACUGAAUGCCAUGCAGCUAGAGGAAAACAGAGAAAGCAUCUGGUGCAAGACAAAGUCGCUUUGCUGAUGAAGCAAAACCUCCCUAAAAAGAGUUGUUUCUCUUUGAUUUUCAAAUAUCCACAGUAAUUCUUUUCCCCUCCAUCCUUUGUUUGCUGACUGUUGUUUUUUAACGAUCCGUCCUCAUUGAAACCAUUGAUGCAUCUCAGAUGUCCUUUGUCCCCAGAGGCAAACCAUUUUGCUCGCAGCGUGGUGAGUUUUAAUCAUUUUCCUUUUAUCGAAAUAGCCGCAUUCUGGAUGGGCUGCCUGACAAACGGCUGCAAAAUGGAUCACUUCCGAGUUCAGCUCCUGCCAGCCUACCCCCACAAUCAGCAGACCCAGACCACACAUCCAUCACGGGCCUCUGAAUAAGCCCAAUCCACUCCGGAUAGUAAUUUACAAAUACAACAAAAGGAGGCCGGACACCUGCUCGACACCCAGACAGGAUUUUGGUUACUUUAUUGCCAG